GGCUUGGUGGUGUAAUGGGAACAUGCUCACCCCCCUUUGAAGGGUAGUGAUGGUAUUUUGUGGGAGCUCCUUGUUCGACUCAAGGCCGGGUCA